UAGGGAAUAUUGGACAAUGGGGCAACCCUGAUCCAGCCAUGCCGCGUGAGUGAAGAAGGCCCUCGGGUUGUAAAGCUCUUUUGUCCGGAAAGAAAAGCAUUCGGUGAAUACCCGGAUGUUCUGACGGUACCGGAAGAAUAAGCACCGGCUAACUUCGUGCCAGCAGCCGCGGUAAUACGAAGGGUGCAAGCGUUACUCGGAAUUACUGGGCGUAAAGCGUGCGUAGGUGGUUGUUUAAGUCUGAUGUGAAAGCCCUGGGCUCAACCUGGGAAUGGCAUUGGAAACUGGGCAGCUAGAGUGCGGUAGAGGGUAGUGGAAUUCCCGGUGUAGCAGUGAAACGCGUAGAGAUCGGGAGGAACAUCUGUGGCGAAGGCGACUGCCUGGACCAGCACUGACACUGAGGCACGAAAGCGUGGGGAGCAAACA
rnacentral:rRNA from 1 species